rnacentral:rRNA from 1 species
GCAAGGGGGUCAUCCCGACUUACCAACCCGAUGCAAACUGCGAAUACCGGAGAAUGUUAUCACGGGAGACACACGGCGGGUGCUAACGUCCGUCGUGAAGAGGGAAACAACCCAGACCGCCAGCUAAGGUCCCAAAGUCAUGGUUAAGUGGGAAACGAUGUGGGAAGGCCCAGACAGCCAGGAUGUUGGCUUAGAAGCAGCCAUCAUUUAAAGAAAGCGUAAUAGCUCACUGGUCGAGUCGGCCUGCGCGGAAGAUGUAACGGGGCUAAACCAUGCACCGAAGCUGCGGCAGCGACGCUUAUGCGUUGUUGGGUAGGGGAGCGUUCUGUAAGCCUGCGAAGGUGUGCUGUGAGGCAUGCUGGAGGUAUCAGAAGUGCGAAUGCUGACAUAAGUAACGAUAAAGCGGGUGAAAAGCCCGCUCGCCGGAAGACCAAGGGUUCCUGUCCAACGUUAAUCGGGGCAGGGUGAGUCGACCCCUAAGGCGAGGCCGAAAGGCGUAGUCGAUGGGAAACAGGUUAAUAUUCCUGUACUUGGUGUUACUGCGAAGGGGGGACGGAGAAGGCUAUGUUGGCCGGGCGACGGUUGUCCCGGUUUAAGCGUGUAGGCUGGUUUUCCAGGCAAAUCCGGAAAAUCAAGGCUGAGGCGUGAUGACGAGGCACUACGGUGCUGAAGCAACAAAUGCCCUGCUUCCAGGAAAAGCCUCUAAGCAUCAGGUAACAUCAAAUCGUACCCCAAACCGACACAGGUGGUCAGGUAGAGAAUACCAAGGCGCUUGAGAGAACUCGGGUGAAGGAACUAGGCAAAAUGGUGCCGUAACUUCGGGAGAAGGCACGCUGAUAUGUAGGUGAAGCGACUUGCUCGUGGAGCUGAAAUCAGUCGAAGAUACCAGCUGGCUGCAACUGUUUAUUAAAAACACAGCACUGUGCAAACACGAAAGUGGACGUAUACGGUGUGACGCCUGCCCGGUGCCGGAAGGUUAAUUGAUGGGGUCAGCGCAAGCGAAGCUCUUGAUCGAAGCCCCGGUAAACGGCGGCCGUAACUAUAACGGUCCUAAGGUAGCGAAAUUCCUUGUCGGGUAAGUUCCGACCUGCACGAAUGGCGUAAUGAUGGCCAGGCUGUCUCCACCCGAGACUCAGUGAAAUUGAACUCGCUGUGAAGAUGCAGUGUACCCGCGGCAAGACGGAAAGACCCCGUGAACCUUUACUAUAGCUUGACACUGAACAUUGAGCCUUGAUGUGUAGGAUAGGUGGGAGGCUUGGAAGUGUGGACGCCAGUCUGCAUGGAGCCGACCUUGAAAUACCACCCUUUAAUGUUU